UACGGAGGGUGCGAACGUUAAUCGGAAUCACUGGGCGUAAAGCGCGCGUAGGCGGUUUGUUAAGUGGGAUGUGAAAUCCCCGGGCUUAACCUGGGAAUUGCGUUCCAAACUGGCCGACUAGAGUACGGUAGAGGGAGGUAGAAUUUCCUGUGUAGCGGUGAAAUGCGUAGAUAUAGGAAGGAAUACCAGUGGCGAAGGCGGCCUCCUGGAUCGAUACUGACGCUGAGGCGCGAAAGCGUGGGGAGCGAACAGG
rnacentral:rRNA from 1 species